ensembl:ncRNA
UAAUCUCAAUUUGUAAAUGUGAG